rnacentral:rRNA from 1 species
GACGAACGCUGGCGGCGUGCUUAACACAUGCAAGUCGAGCGGUAAGGCCCCUUCGGGGGUACACGAGCGGCGAACGGGUGAGUAACACGUGAGCAACCUACCCUCAACUUCGGGAUAAGCCUCGGAAACGGGGUCUAAUACCGGAUAUCACUCCAUUCUUCAUGGUUUGGGGUUGAAAGUUCUGGCGGUUGGGGAUGGGCUCGCGGCCUAUCAGCUUGUUGGUGGGGUAAGUGGCCUACCAAGGCGUCGACGGGUAGCCGGCCUGAGAGGGCGACCGGCCACACUGGGACUGAGACACGGCCCACGACUCCUACGGGAGGGCAGCAGUGGGGAAGUAUUGCGCAAUGGGCGGAAAGACCUGACGCAGCAACGCCGCGUGAGGGAUGACGGCCUCGGUUGUUAACCG